GACCUGCCCUCCUCGGUCUCCCAAAGUGCUGGGAUUACAAGUGUGAGCCACCGUGCCCAACCUAGAAGCCAACUCUGAAUGGUGUUAUAAUUAGAGGUAUAGUUUAGUUUAAUUCAACAUAUAUUUAUUGAGCACCAGGUAUUUAAUACGUAAAGAUAAAUGAGGUGAAGUGUCCUUAAGCAUGCAUGGUAUAUGAAAUCUGGAAGAUAAACAUGUAGAUAAUUGCAGAUAAUUGUGAUAUAUACUCUAUGUGCACACAAAGGCUGUGAGGAUGCAAGAACGAAGCGUAAGCAGCUGUGCUUGGUCAGAGGAAGGGUUCCAGGAAAGCCACACGGAAGAGAUAGCAUUGGACUGUGACCAGGACUAAAAAGAUGAUGUUGCCUUGGCAGACAACUGGAAAAACAUCAUAAGCAGAGAGAACAAUGUCUAAAAUAUCAACCAAGGUAUUUUGCAACCAGUUACGACUCUGAUUCUGAUUUUCAUGCUUCCUACCUCUUUCGCCUUGGAGUACUGCACUCCCCUCAAUCCUCACCCAAGCUGUUGGGUUGACACAGGAGGAAACUGAAGCCCAGAGGACAUAAUUUAUCUCCCUCCUUGAUACUGGCAUGUGAAGAAGCUGAGGCAGAAGCUGAAGGAAUGGCCACAGGCGCCAAGGAUGGCCAAGGAGGCCCUUGAUGCUUCUGGUCCUGCUGGGACCACUGAACACACAUGGACCUCUCUGCAACUUGAGCAAGGGAGGGUCAGGCUGGGUGACAAAGGCAUGAGCAGAGCUGCCCAGGGUGUCUCUGUGCAUGUUCAUCCCAGUCUUAGCAGAGCACAAUUUCAAUCCACGUUUCAGAUUCACCCAGAUGCCUUGGAUAAUUUGUUUUGGAAAACAUAUAUUGAAGUUACCAGAGCCACAGUAUGACAGAAGACUGGGUCCCAGAAUCAGAACUGCAAGGAAAGUCAUGCACUAAUGAAGAAAACAAUUCUUAAGGCUUAUGUGAGCUGAAAACAAACUUGUCAUGUUGCUGCCUUCAUCCAUUUUUAGAAGAUGUUUGUCCCCAGUAGUGCUACUCUAAUAAAAUACAUCAUCAACACAGUAA